rfam:Bombyx mori DNA, contig: Bm_scaf53_contig27182, strain: p50T/Dazao, build 2, whole genome shotgun sequence.
UUAACUCAAUUUUGUAUGAAGUUGGAACGUUUGCCUAUGUUGGUCGCUAGGGGCGCUGUUCCAACUGCAUACAUAUUUGAGCUA